UUUCACAGUCUUUAAGUGUAUCUUUGCAACCAUAUUGGUGGAGUGCUGCAGUGACGGUUGACCUUCUGGAAGUUUCUUUUAUCCGUACUCAUCUGUUUCCUUCAUGCUGUCAAUAUGGCUGUCAGUGUACUAUAGCAAUACAGAUCACCAUCCUUUCCAGCUUUUCCGAGGCAGCUGGAACUAUACUGCCACAAGAUUUGAAGCACCUAAGACAAUACAUCCCUGAGACAAUGGAGACCAUAUAGGAGGAUAUGCUGAAGGCAUCUGGACAGGACUGGACCACCUUCUAAACAUCUGCCGUGUAACCAAUAGAAAUCGCUCUGAACAUUUGUGUUGUAUAGAUAAGUCCUGGAUAGAUCGUGCGUCUUUGGAUGUUCAUAAAUUCGUGUUCCGUUCUCCCGGAUGGAAGACUUUGAUUUCUCAGAGUUUGAGGAUAUGGACGAUAGCGGUGAAAUAUUUGAAGAAUCCCCUCUUAGUCUGAGCGGCAACCGCUCGUAUAAACACCUUGUCACGUGCUAUAUAACUAUGAGGUAGGG